CCUGACGCAGCAACGCCGCGUGAGUGAGGAGGGUCUUCGGAUCGUAAAGCUCUGUCGGGUGGGAAGGAAUAUACAAAAGUUAACAGCUUUUGUACUUGACGGUACCACCAGAGGAAGCACCGGCCAACUCCGUGCCAGCAGCCGCGGUAAUACGGGGGGUGCAAGCGUUGUUCGGAAUUAUUGGGCGUAAAGAGCGUGUAGGCGGUUGGAUAAGUCAGAUGUGAAAGCCCUGGGCUUAACCCAGGGAGUGCAUUUGAAACUGUUCGGCUUGAGUAAGGGAGAGGAAAGUGGAAUUCCUGGUGUAGAGGUGGAAUUCGUAGAUAUCAGGAGGAACACCGGUGGCGAAGGCGACUUUCUGGCCCUAUACUGACGCUGAGACGCGAAAGCGUGGGUAGCAAACAGGAUUAGAUACCCUGGUAGUCCACGCCGUAAACGAUGUUCACUAGGUGUUGGGGGUAUUGACCCCCUCAGUGCCGAAGCUAACGCAUUAAGUGAACCGCCUG
rnacentral:rRNA from 1 species